UUCAAGAAGUCCUAAAACUAUAAUGCGCUUUUUAUGAUAGGUUUCAAAACCACAAAUUGCACAUUAUCGGUGAAACUUAACCCCUGCAAUUUUCUCAGGGGCACUCUUGAAUUUGAAUUGUUUUUUACGUCCCUUUGUUUGAGAAGUAAUCGGUGGCAAAAACUCCUCUUUUUCCAUUCAACAUCUUCCUCUUCAUAAUCAAUUCUCGACUCUUGGUUUGUAAUCUGACCUCAUUGUCAAUUUCAUCAUUAGGUACGUCGUUAAUGUUGACAUCUGGGUUAUACUAAUCAACAAGGACUUUUCCUUUUGCAUUCAAUUUUAGGACAAUUUUGUAACCUUGAAUUAAGCGCGCACUUUUAAUAAUUAACUCGUGAAAAUCACUCAUCAAAUGGUUGUACUACAUUGCUUGUAUAUCUGACCUCAUUGUCAAUUUCAUCAUUAGGUAUGUCGUUAAUGUUGACAUCUGGGUUAUACUAAUCAACAAGGACUUUUCCUUUUGCAUUCAAUUUUAGGACAAUUUUGUAACCUUGAAUUAAGC
rnacentral:lncRNA from 1 species